rnacentral:rRNA from 1 species
CCUACGGGCGGCAGCAGUGAGGAAUAUUGGUCAAUGGACGAGAGUCUGAACCAGCCAAGUAGCGUGAAGGAUGACUGCCCUAUGGGUUGUAAACUUCUUUUAUAAAGGAAUAAAACGCGGCACGUGUGCCUUUUUGCAUGUACUUUAUGAAUAAGGCUCGGCUAACUCCGUGCCAGCAGCCGCGGUAAUACGGAGGAUCCGAGCGUUAUCCGGAUUUAUUGGGUUUAAAGGGAGCGUAGAUGGGUUGUUAAGUCAGUUGUGAAAGUUUGCGGCUCAACCAUAAAAGUGCAAUUGAUACUGGCAGUCUGGAGUACAGUUGAGGUAAGCGGAAGUCGUGGUGUAGCGGUGAAAUGCUUAGAUAUCACGAAGAACCCCGAUUGCGAAGGCAGCUUACUAAACUGUGACUGACAUUGAUGCUCGAAAGUGUGGGUAUCAAACAGGAUUAGAUACCCCAGUAGUC